UACGAAGGGGGCUAGCGUUGUUCGGAAUCACUGGGCGUAAAGCGCACGUAGGCGGAUUGCUAAGUCAGGGGUGAAAUCCUGGAGCUCAACUCCAGAACUGCCCUUGAUACUGGCGGUCUCGAGUCCGGGAGAGGUGAGUGGAACUGCGAGUGUAGAGGUGAAAUUCGUAGAUAUUCGCAAGAACACCAGUGGCGAAGGCGGCUCACUGGCCCGGUACUGACGCUGAGGUGCGAAAGCGUGGGGAGCAAACAGG
rnacentral:rRNA from 1 species